rnacentral:rRNA from 1 species
GACGAACGCUGGCGGCGUGCCUAAUACAUGCAAGUAGAACGCUGAAGGAGGAGCUUGCUCUUCUGGAUGAGUUGCGAACGGGUGAGUAACGCGUAGGUAACCUGCCUGGUAGCGGGGGAUAACUAUUGGAAACGAUAGCUAAUACCGCAUAAAAUUGAUUAUUGCAUGAUAGUCAAUUAAAAGGUGCAAUUGCAUCACUACCAGAUGGACCUGCGUUGUAUUAGCUAGUUGGUGAGGUAACGGCUCACCAAGGCAACGAUACAUAGCCGACCUGAGAGGGUGAUCGGCCACACUGGGACUGAGACACGGCCCAGACUCCUACGGGAGGCAGCAGUAGGGAAUCUUCGGCAAUGGACGGAAGUCUGACCGAGCAACGCCGCGUGAGUGAAGAAGGUUGUCGGAUCGUAAAGCUCUGUUGUAAGAGAAGAACGAGUGUGAGAGUGGAAAGUUCACACUGUGACGGUAUCUUACCAGAAAGGGACGGCUAACUACGUG